UAGGGAAUCUUCCGCAAUGGACGCAAGUCUGACGGAGCAACGCCGCGUGAGUGAAGAAGGAUUUCGGUUCGUAAAACUCUGUUGUUAGAGAAGAACAGCGCAUAGAGUAACUGUUAUGCGUGUGACGGUAUCUAACCAGAAAGCCACGGCUAACUACGUGCCAGCAGCCGCGGUAAUACGUAGGUGGCAAGCGUUGUCCGGAUUUAUUGGGCGUAAAGCGCGCGUAGGCGGUUUUUUAAGUCUGAUGUGAAAGCCCACGGCUCAACCGUGGAGGGUCAUUGGAAACUGGAAAACUUGAGUGCAGAAGAGGAAAGUGGAAUUCCAUGUGUAGCGGUGAAAUGCGUAGAUAUAUGGAGGAACACCAGUGGCGAAGGCGACUCUCUGGUCUGUAACUGACGCUGAGGCUCGAAAGCGUGGGUAGCAAACAGG
rnacentral:rRNA from 1 species